UACACAAAUUGACUUGAAUAAUCGUUCUAAGAUGUUUGAUAUGGCAUAUUAAUAAAAUUAAUAAAACAGAUGUUACAAAAUCCCCAUCACACGGUUGAUUACGUUAACUCAUGACAAUUUCUGUAAGCCUUUAACAAAGCGAGUCAAAACCGGUACAGAGUGGGCCUCCGCAACCCACUUCGGCUUUUUGUGUCACACACGCGCAUAGUUUUCCCUUUCCCAGCUUAACAAGCGAUAGCGACGCUGUUAAAUUAAAUUUAGCGACAAACGAAUUGCUUUCUUGUCAUUCGAUAUGUAAAGACAGACCGCAAAGGGCGAGGCGCGAGCAGAAGCACAUGUUAACUUUACCGGCGGCGCCGCGGCGGAGGAUCACGGAGCCGUCGUCUACGCUGUCACUGAGGCAAAGACAAGAAGCACAUUCACUUCACAGUCGAGUGUGCAGAGUUUUAACGUCCAUCCAUUGAUGAGGCUAGCAAGACCUUCAUACAACUUCAGCCAAUUGCAACAAAUGUGGUGGAAUUUCUUCUCUGGACAGAAUCCUCGAAACCCUUUCCUUUCGUCCUGGCCAUGGGAAACAUGCAGCAGACCUCUCAAUCUUUUUUCUCAAUCAGUCUCUCUGAAUACGGAAGUGACUUAAACUGCAAUUCGGCCAAGAUGGCGACGGCACGCACCGCCUACUUUAAGCUUCAAAAAUGCUCUUCACAAACCAAUGGGUGACGUCACAGACACUUCUUGCAUAUUUUUUACAGUCUAUGGUUUAAAGGCAUUUUAAGUGCUUAAAAAAAUAAAUACCCCAGGCAAUGUGCUUCUAUGGGAAUUCCUGUAGUCUGUCAUUUUUCAAAUGGAUGAAUCCUCUCCUGUUCGAUUCCUUUGUACAUCUUUGUUCGCGACGAGUAACUUUAAUAAAUGAAGUUUUUUUGUCAAAUACAUUCCAUUCUGUGAAACUUAAAACAUUUGUUCUUUAAAAAAACUUUACACAUCUAUGAAUGAUUUUACUUUUAAUUUAACAAUUACAUUGUUUCUUUUUUACACUGCUGUAGUUUUGUUUAUGUACAUUUCAGUAUUUCAUAUAUAUACUGUAAAAUUACAAAUUCUGUCUUAAAUUCAAACGAAUUGAUUCAACCUGUUACAUUGUUACUUCAAUGUGCAUAAUUUAUGAUAUUUUAUAAAUAUAUUUAUACUUGGGUCAGUCAGCAGUCCUUUAAAUGAUUUUGCAACUUACAACUGUAAAAAUGUAAGAGUUUGUAGUUAUUUUGCAAUCAAAUAAACAUUUAUUUGCUGUUAACAAUGGUCUUGAUUUACAAUAAAGCACAUGAUAAAAAUAACCCAGCAAGAAUAACCCAAAACCCAGAAUAUUAAUCCCAUAAAUGGUUAAAAUGACUACAUGUUGGGUUUUCUCAACAACCCAACCUGCUGGGUUAAAAUGUGUUACCCAACGUGUUGGGUUACUUUAACCCAGCAUGUGUUCUGUCCAAUAUUUACCCAGCGCUGGGUUGCCAAUUGGGUUGUUUUUAACCCAACCAUU